UGUAACAUAUCAAUUAUAACAUGUUGUAAUAUAAUUUCAUAUCUGUAAGUAUAAUGUUAUUUCAUACUUUUUUAAUUUUUUAUUAUUUUUUCAAGAGAAGAUUCUUAACGGCCGGUAGUGUGAAUUGAAUGUAAGGUAAAACAAAAUUUGUAAUGUAUAAAGAAAUCGUACUCUUCAGUGUAGUGAGUACGUAUAGUUUCAUAAUUCCAUCUCUUACGUCCUUUAGCUAUAGGAUAACAUUCGAGAAGAGGGGAUACAGAUAAUUCCACAUUAGCCUCUCUUCUCAUUAUCAUAAUUCUGUCGAACGAGAUAAACACAUUCCCACUCAUUCAUUCUCUAUUCAUCUCUGCAGUAAUAAGGCGAUUCUCUUCGCAAUACUAUGCAACAUUGCGCAUUAUUUACACUGCAAUACGGUGUGUUCUGCUUAUUAUUCUCGCUAUUAAAAAGAAGUUUUAAUAAAAUUUAUUUAACGACUAAAUAACGUGAUUAUUAGAUUUUGCUUAUUUACGAAGUGUUCAGCUAUUUGAUUUUAUUCCUUCUUCUUAUAAAAAGUGCUAACCGGUUUGAUUUGAUGAACCUGAUACCUUCCAAAUAUUGGUAAGUGAGACAGAAUUAUUCCGAGUGGAGAGUACAAGGAGAGCGACUACGAGCGAAAUCAAAUAGGAACAAUUAAGUACGAUAGAAAUGUGAUCGAAAUGAAAAAUGUGAUGACUAUUGAUAAGUAUGAUUAUGAAAGAGAAAUUAGCAAACAUGAAAAGUAGUGCGCAGAAGAAAAUUGCACGGUAGACGUCAAAGAAAAAACAAAGAUCGUAUCCUCGUCGAAUAAAAAACAUCACGAAAUAUUUCAUUUAAAUUACUUCUGGAUGUCUAGUUAAAUGUUACUUCUUCAUCUUCUCAUUAUUCUGAUUCUUAAAUACUUAUAACCUGUAUUAUUAUAAUAAUAUUAACAAUAGUUGUAAAUGUAAAUGUAAAACUAAAAUUGUAAUAGUAAAGUGGACUAAUCCUACAGAGGAAACCAAAAAUAAAAAUAUCAUUAAGAGAUUUA